CCUACGGGGGGCAGCAGUGGGGAAUAUUGCACAAUGGGCGAAACCCUGAUGCAGCGACGCCGCGUGAGUGAAGAAGUACUUCGUUACGUAAAGCUCUAUCAGCAGGGAAGAAAAUGACGGUACCUGAGUAAGAAGCCCCGGCUAACUACGUUCCAACAGCCGCGGUAAUACGUAGGGGGCAAGCGUUAUCCGGAUUUACUGGGUGUAAAGGGAGCGUAGACGGUUCGGCAAGUCUGGAGUGAAAUGCCGGAGCUUAACUGGGGAACUGCUUUGGAAACUGGCGAACUAGAGUGCUGGAGGGGUAAGCGGAAUUCCUAGUGUAGCGGUGAAAUGCGUAGAUAUUAGGAGGAACACCGGUGGCGAAGGCGGCUUACUGGACCGUAACUGACGUUGAGGCUCGAAAGCGUGGGGAGCAAACAGGAUUAGAUACCCCAGUAGUC
rnacentral:rRNA from 1 species